AAAUUGCUCUUCACAAAGUCUUAUAAUUUAUACUCAGACCAAAUACAUAUAAGAAUGUCUCUUUUCCUCAUUAAUAGAAAUAAAACUCUUGGAGUUCCUGUUGUGGCUCAGUGGAAAUGAAUCUGACUAGCAUCCAUGAGGACACAGAUUGAAUCCCUGGCCUUGCUCAGUGGGUUAAGGAUCCAGCAUUGCCAUGAGCAGUGGUGUAGGUCGCAAAUGUGACUUGAUCUGGCAUGGCUGUGGCUGUGGUGUAGGCCAGCAGCUGUAGCUCUGAUUGUCCCUUAGCCUGGGAACUUCCAUAUGCCAGAGGUGCAGCCCUGAAAGAAAAAGAAAAAAAAAAAAAAGAGAGAGAAAAGAAAUUAAACUCUAAAUUUGCAUUGUCUCAUUCUAAUUCUUAGAAUGAUUGUCAGGAGAAAUGCUAAUCAUUACACAUCUAGAAAGAAACAAGAUGGGGGUCAAAUUUUCUGACUUGCCAUAUCACAUAUUUCUUAUAUAUCACACAUUUCUUGCCAUUGUGCCAUUGAUGGCAAUUCCAAGUGAACCUUCAGGAAAGAACCUCCAGCAGGAAUUCAUGCACGCCACAGCCUGACUCAUGCCUGUGUUGCUGGCAGUGCCCUGGCCUCCAGCCAUUGGACUGUGGGUGGCACAAUUCUUGUAUUCUGAGAAGAAGGCGAUGCUGUCACCCUGCUUGUCCAGGCCAGCACUGAAGCCAGUGGGAAAGGGAGGAGGAAAGAAAGUUGGAGGCAAAGAGGCAGUGGAGGGUGACCGAGUUAUAGACCUUGUAACAACAUGUCCCUAAAACCCUUUGAGCCUUGCCCCAUAUUAUGAGUGAAAUAAUCCAGGCUAUCCCUCUGAUCUGAAUAUUUUUAAUUAAUGAGUUUAUUUUUACAGUUUAUUUUUUUUAAAUUGUUAGAGUCAAAGAAACAGGAUCCUGUUUUUGUUUUCAUUUAUACAAAAUAUUCAGGGAUCCAAGUUCUCAUAAGUGAAACCAAGGAGGUGGCGAAGGAGAAAUUCUAUUUUGGAAAGACAUAAAAGUUGGAUUUUUUAAAAAGUUUUACUUUUUGGUAUCUUAUGGUUUAGUAAAUUUAACUCAAGUUUAAAGAAAAUUAAAAAAAAAAGACUAGAAAUGAGUUCAGUUAUGUAGGUGCUUGCAAAGUUCUAAAAAGUAUUUGGCUAUAGAAUUGCGUAAGGAAACUCUUGUUUUGUACCAGUGCAGCCAUAUUUGUUAAGGACUAAUAAGUCAGAUGUGCUAGUAGGUAUUGUAGGAUUAGUAAAAUGAAUUAGCUACAGACCAUCCUUAGGAACCAUCUUGUAGUGGCAGGAAGAUUGCUCUAGGAAGCUUUCCUGACUGUUAACUGUUUUCUCAUCACCCAAUGUACUUCAUUAAUUGAAGUCACCUAUUUGUCAAUUAUACCCAUUGGACUAUGAGUCCAUAAGGGGCAGGUGCUGUGCUGCCUACAGUGUUCACCUUGAAAAUCUGUAUAGAAGAGGGGCCAUAGAAACUUAAUGGAACAAAAUUAUACUAUAGGAAACAUAGCAUCACAUGUGACCAUUUGGGGGGAAGGAAUUAUUUUUGAUUACUGUGUUCACUGUCUCAAAAAUACUGGGCUAUACUUUUCAGAUGUAUUAAGGUAAGAUAAUAUUGUGCUAUUAAAUUUCUGUUUUUAUUAAUUUUGCAAACCUAGGAAGACCAUUUAAUUUAUGUCCUCAAGUUUUCUCAUCCUCAGAGUAAGUACCAACAAUUCUCAGCCGAUGUUGGGGAGAGCUAUCCUCAGGAUCUUUAUUAGGAUAUUUGUUGUUUGAAAAAAAACAUACUCAAUAUCAUUAUAUAAUUUUAUAUUUGUAAAAUAAAAAGGAAGGUUCUAUUUCUGGGAUAUUAAACGAUAGAAAAAAAGGUUCUGGAAAAUGUUGGCCUCCAGGCUUCUCAGAGGUUGUGGGCCAACUCUUCCAAGGAGAUUAGAUAAGAAUCUCUAAGUUUAGUGUGAGAAGGAUUAUACUUCAUCUUUUUUUUUUUUAAUGUUUUUCAAUGAGUUCAAUAAUGGGAAGAGACAUUGCACUAAUCCCAAGAAGCUCCAGUCACCUAGAGGUUCAUCAUAGCUGACAUAAAUCUUGUUUUUCUUUGCACGUGUUAGAAAAGUUCAGUCAAUUCUUUUUUUGUUUAAUUUAUUUUGAAAAGAGGCAAAAGCUAUAGAUCAUAUUAAUACUAGGCUCAGGACGAUAAAGAAGAUAUGAAAACCAGCCGGACUGAGUUAUUGAAGCAUUGAUGCGUAGAAUUGCUCUGAUUUCUUGGAUGUGCCCAUGUUAUCAAGGACAGGCUGAUAGUUUAGUGUGAUUCUAGCUCAGAAGAUCCUGUGAGAGAACUGAAAGCCAGCAUAAUGUGUUUGGCUGACAGGUAUUAAAUUUUUAAGGGACUAGAGGCUGUUGCCUGGGGUCUUUAUUUGAAGGAGUUUUUAAGUAUUUGCUGUUUGACAUUUAAAUGACUCCGUUAUACAGUAAAGCCCUUCUGGAUCAAAAUCAACCUGAGUUUCAUAUACCUUUCUGGCCAUGGAUAUCCACAUCACAACAAAAGCAGAGAAUGUUUAAAAUGCUCAAUACAAAGUCAAACAAACAGAUUAACAUGUUACCUCAUUGCAGCGAAAGUCAAUUCCUGCACUCCUUUCUCCUCUGGGGCCCUCCUCAGUUGGCUAGCAAUGGAGAUAGACACGUUACUUAUAUUUGGUAACUUUUGGAGGCCUGGUGCAUGCUCUUUAACCCCUUUAGCUCCUCGGUGACUUGGCCACACUCCUGCUGUCCCAGGAAUCAACAGCAUCCUGACAUUCCUCAGUUAUAGGCCAGUCUGGGCUACUUUUCACCCUCCAUUUUGCCAGUGUGAACUUCAGAGGUGCAGAAGCAGAACCCAUUUGUCUUGUCUUGUGGUCUUUUGAGCUCUGGUUCUAAACUCCUAUUUAGCUUUAGACUAAGUUAGGGCAUUGUUCAACUUUGGGCAUGGUCUGCAGAUUUAGAGUAGCAUUUUAUUUUGAUAUUUUUGCUUUUUGGGGCCACGCCUGCAGCAUAUGGAGGUUCCCAGGCUAGGGGUCGAAUCGGAGCUGUAGCCACCGGCCUACACCAGAGCCAUAGCAACGCGGGAUCCGAGCCACGUCUGUGACCUACACCACAGCUCAUGACAACGCUGGAUCCUUAACCUCCUGAGCAAGGCCAGGGAUCGAACCCACAACCUCAUGGUUCCUAAUUGGAUUUGUUAACCACUGAGCCACGAUGGGAACUCCUCAAAAUUCAAAUUUUAGACUUAAAUCUUUAAGUAUUUCUGUCAGUUUGGGUCUUCUGAAAACAGAUGUCAAGGUGGGAUUAGAUGGAUGAGAGAUUUUGGCGGAGAAACACUUUUGUGAAGGAAAAAAGGAGGGGAACAUGAGUAGGCCAAGAGCUUCCAUACCUUGAUGCAAAUAUGUGAAGAGAGAGUCGGGGGGUAGGGGAACUGGGUUGAAAGAAGCCUCAGACCACAGUGUAGUUCUGAGAAAGUCUCAGCAAGGCCGGGGGGUGGGGGACCCCUGAGCUCCCUGAGCAAGUUUCCCAUGAGAGGAGUCUUGUGUCUAGCAGAAGUGGCCUGGGCCCACUGCAUCCACCAGGCUCUGUCAUUGGCUGGGAGCAGACCGUGGGAAGUGUGAUCUGGAUCCAAAGGUGUGACAGUUGGAGGCUGUCAGUCAGCCAUCCCUGUGGCAGGUCUGGAAGGGAGAGUUGAAAGGGACACCUCCACACCACUGAAGUCCCCAAAGGUGGACCUCAAAUCCCAGGAUCCUCAGCAGGACUUUCCAAAGUUUACAGGCCUUAUUCUCUCUGCUGUCCACUCCCAUCUCCUGCCCAGUUCAUUCCUUCUACUCCUGGACUCUUAAUUCCCUCAAAGUCAGUUUAGAUAGGGAAGCUAGACCUUGAGAGGCUCACCUUUUUUUCCUAGCUAAUAAAACCAUUCCUUUAAAAAAAAAAUCCCAAUUCUAUGAAUCUUUCAGUGAUGAAAUUCCCAGCACGGUGUUAAAUACAGAGGACACAAGGACACAAGGCAAAUGAGACAACACAAAGGACUCACACCCUAGAGAGGGUUAUGUACAAAUUAGCAUACAUUUUAUUAAUGUGAUAAAGAGAGGAAUAGGCUGGACACAGAAGAGGACUAUCUUGACCAGCCUGGGCAAAGGUCGAGCAGAGUCUCUAAGGACAAAUACAACUUACUCAGAAAAGGCAGGCAGAGGCAGGUCUAGGCAGAGCUAGAAACUAUGAAGAACAGACUACAAGAAGUGGGGUGUUUGUGGAGGAUAAAGGGAAGGCUUCUGAGGUAGGCAUGAUCCAGAUUUAUGCUUGGGAACAUGUAGUUGACUGUGUCAGCUGUGGGCACGUGUGCAUUUUACAAGUGUGGCAGAGGAUUUGGGUGGGCAAGACUAAAGAGCAGAAGGAAGCCACUGCCUCUCUGCUGUUUAUUUCCAUCUGUUCCCUGAUAUGUCUGUAAGAGAACAGGAGUCCUGGUGAAAGACUGCCUGCUUUAUCAAGUCAAAAGACUUGGAUUCGAAUCUCAGGGUCAAGGUCAAGGUUUACCAUAGGUUAGGCCAGUCAUGUAACUCUAGAAAUGGAAGUUUCUGUUACUUAUAAACUGGAAAUCAUGAUAGUUGCCCUGACCUCUAUUGAGCUGUUCUGAGGAUCAAAUGAGUUGAGAUAGGACUUUCUGAAGGCACUUUGCAAACUUUCAGCACUAUAAAAAUUAAGAGGCUGAUAUUAUGUACUGCUCAGGAAAUAACAGACACCUGGGAAAACCCACAGAGUGUGGUUUUGUAAGAAAUUGCUCAGCCUCCAAGGGAGAAAAUGCCUGGCUUAACGCUGGCCAAGAGGAACAUGUUUGGGAAAUUACGACAUGAGGUAAAGCAAAUGGGGCUUUCUGUUUUGUUUUCAGAGAUCACAACUGCUUGUCAUUCUCAUUGUUUACCCUUCCUCAUCAUGGGUGGUUCUGAAGUGAGAGGAAGUUGGGGCCAGGGAGUAUUAAUAAGGCAAAGAAGAUGGUUAAAAUGUACUUUGUGUAACAAAUAGACACUGAACCUCUUUAAGGUGGGGAAGAUAAGAAAAGCUAGACAUUGGUUAUAUGAAUAGGCACAUGUGUAGGGACAGAGAACAAACUCAGCUUUGUCAGAAAACUGACUUUCCCAGGGCCUGACAGGGUCCUCAUCCUCACACUCUCAGGGAGAAAUAGCAGUAUAAUACUGGAUAAAUAAAACUUGUCCUAACAAUUUCUGGAAAAAAAUUUUUUUUAAUUUUAUGAUUUUAAUUUUUUCCAUUAUAGUUGAUUUAGUGUUCUGUCAAUUUCUACUAUUUAGCAAAGUGACCCAGUUAUACAUAUAUACAUAGAUUCUUUUUCUCACAUUAUCCUCUAUCAUGUCCCAUCAUAAGUGACUAGAUAUAGUUCCUUUUGCUCUACAGCAGGAUCUCAUUGCUUCUCCACUCCAAAUGCAAUAGUGUGCAUUAACUCCAAACUCCCAGUCCAUCCCACUUGCUCCUCCUCCUCUUUGGCCACCACAAAUCCAAGUCCAUGAGUUUCUUUUCUGUGGAAAGUUUCAUUUGUGCUGCGUAUUAGAUUCCAGGUAUAAAUGCUAUCAUAUGGUAUUUGUGUUUCUCUUUCUGACUUAUAUGAGAGUCUCUAGUUCCAUCCACGUUGCUGCAAAUGGGAUUAUUUUGUUCUUUUUAUGGCUGAGUAGUAUUCCACUGUAUACAUAUACCACAUCUUCUUAAUCCAUUUAUGUGUUGGUUGACAUUUAGAUUGUUUCCAUGUUUUGGCUAUUGUGAAUAGUGCUGCAAUGAACAUGCAGGUGCAUGUGUCUUUUUCAAGGAAAGUUUUGUCCAGAUAUAUGUCCAAGAGUGGGAUUGCUGGGUUGUAGGGUAGCUCUAUAUUUAGUUUUCUGAGGAACCUCUGUAUUGGUUUCCAUAAUGGUUGUACCAAUUUACAUUCCCACCAACAGUGUAGGAGGGCUUCCUUUUCUCCACACCCUCUCCAGCAUUUGCUAUUUGUUGACUUGUUAAUGAUGGCCAUUCUGACUGGUGUGAGAUGGUACCUCAUUGUAGUUUUGAUUUGCAUUUCUUUAAUAAUCAGUGAUGUUGAGCAUUUUUUCAAGGGCUUGUUGGCCACCUGUAUAUCUUCUUUGGAAAAAGGUCUCUUCAGGUCUUUUGCCUAUUUUUCAAUUGGGUUGUUGAUUUUUUUUGCUGUUGAGUUUUAUGAGUUGUUCAUAUAUUUAUAGAUUAAGCUCUUGUCAGUUGCAUCAUUUGAAAGUAUUUUCUCCCAUUCCAUAGGCUGUCUUUUUGUUUUUCUUAUGGUUUCCUUUGCUCUGCAAAAGCUUUUCAGUGUGAUUAGGUCUAAUUGGUUUAUUUUUGCUUUUUCUUCUGUUGCCUUGGGAGACUGACCUAAGAAAACAUUUGUACUGGAUUUCCCAUUGUGGCUUAGUGGAAACAAAGCUGACUAGCAUCCAUGAGGAUGCAGGUUCUAUCUCAGGCCUUGUUCAGUGGGUUAAAGAUCUGGCAUUGCCUUGAGCUGUGGUGUAGGUUGCAGACAUGGCUCAGAUCUGGCAUUGCUGUGGCGUAGGCCAGCAGCUACAGCUCUGAUUAGACCCCUAGCCUGUGAAACUUCCAUAUGCCUUGGGGGUGGCCCUAAAAAGACUGAAAAAAAAAUUCUCUCUCUGAUUAACUGCGUUUUGUUGAUGGUUUGUAUGGAAAAAAAAAAAA
ensembl:lncRNA